UUGAAAUACACAUGCAUGCUCCAAAUUUUAAAUUCCAACAAAUCUCAUGGUUAAAUUGAGUAAAACUGUAUAAAAAAUAAUAAUACUAUAAUAGCAUUUAAAAUUUUAAUCCCACUCUAUUUGCUCUAUAGCUUACAUAUUGAAUUCCAUACUAAAUUUAGAUCGGGUUGGAUCAAAUCGAGUCCUAAUUCAGUAAACCC
rnacentral:lncRNA from 1 species